CAGUAGCCGCGGUAACACGGAGGGGGCUAGCGUUGUUCGGAAUUACUGGGCGUAAAGCGCACGUAGGCGGCUUGGUAAGUUAGAGGUGAAAGCCCAGGGCUCAACCCUGGAAUUGCCUUUAAGACUGCCGAGCUAGUAGGUGAGAGAGGUAAGUGGAAUUCCGAGCGUAGAGGUGAAAUUCGUAGAUAUUCGGAAGAACACCAGUGGCGAAGGCGGCUCACUGGACGCGUAUUGACGCUGAGGUGCGAAAGCGUGGGGAGCAAACAGGAUUAGAUACCCGUGUAGUCCCUGUCUCUUAUAC
rnacentral:rRNA from 1 species